GUUUAGGGCCCCAAGGCCCCAUGCAUGAACAAACACAAUCUUUCUGACAACCUUUGUUGAGUAACCAGGGUGAGCUCUGUGCGUGUGUGUGUGUGUGUGUGUGUGUGUAUCUCCCUCUCUUUUGUUCCACCCAUGAAAGGGAAUGAAGAGGAAGAUUUGUCUCUAUAGUCAUGAGCUUCAGGGGGAAACCAUGAAACUCUAGAGGGCAUCUUGUGUAUUUGUCUGUACCAGGCAAAUUCCUCGGGUCCAAAUCUUUCCAGCAGCUCAACAUCCAGGUGCUGGCAGUGACCUGAACUGGAAUGUCACCCUGGAGAUGAGUAAGGUCAGGCUGGUUUGUGAGUCCUGGAGGAACCGAAGCUGAAGAGACACAAGGUGCGGUGAGAGUCAUUUGAGAACAGGGAAAGCUGGGAUCAGUGAGGACAGAUUGUAGAAGCCCUGAUCCAAGAGCCUGAGUUGUCAGUUCCCAUUUGAUAGCCACGGCACUCUGUGGACUUGGGCUAGGGGACCUUGUGGAUUCCAUGUGUGGUGACAGGCUAGGGG
rnacentral:lncRNA from 1 species